GUCGAACGAAGCACUUAGGGCAGAAUACUUCGGUUUGAAGUCCUAUUUGACUGAGUGGCGGACGGGUGAGUAACGCGUGGGUAACCUGCCUCAUACAGGGGGAUAACAGUUAGAAAUGACUGCUAAUACCGCAUAAGCGCACGGUCUCGCAUGGGACAGUGUGAAAAACUCCGGUGGUAUGAGAUGGACCCGCGUCUGAUUAGCUUGUUGGCGGGGUAACGGCCCACCAAGGCGACGAUCAGUAGCCGGCCUGAGAGGGUGGACGGCCACAUUGGGACUGAGACACGGCCCAAACUCCUACGGGAGGCAGCAGUGGGGGAUAUUGGACAAUGGGGGGAACCCUGAUCCAGCGACGCCGCGUGAGUGAAGAAGUAUUUCGGUAUGUAAAGCUCUGUCAGCAGGGAAGAAAGAAAUGACGGUACCUGACCAAGAAGCCCCGGCUAACUAUGUGCCAGCAGCCGCGGUAAUACGUAGGGGGCAAGCGUUAUCCGGAAUUACUGGGUGUAAAGGGAGCGUAGACGGUUAAGUAAGUCUGGAGUGAAAGGCCGGGGCCCAACCCCGGGACUGCUCUGGAAACUAUUGAACUUGAGUGCAGGAGAGGUAAGCGGAAUUCCUAGUGUAGCGGUGAAAUGCGUAGAUAUUAGGAGGAACACCAGUGGCGAAGGCGGCUUACUGGACUGUAACUGACGUUGAGGCUCGAAAGCGUGGGGAGCAAACAGGAUUAGAUACCCUGGUAGUCCACGCCGUAAACGAUGAUUACUAGGUGUCGGUGGGUAUGGACCCAUCGGUGCC
rnacentral:rRNA from 1 species